rnacentral:rRNA from 1 species
AGUGAACGCUGGCGGUAGGCCUUACACAUGCAAGUCGAACGGCGGCACGGACUUCGGUCUGGUGGCGAGUGGCGAACGGGUGAGUAAUACAUCGGAACGUGCCCAGUUGUGGGGGAUAACUGCUCGAAAGAGUAGCUAAUACCGCAUGAGAACUGAGGUUGAAAGCAGGGGAUCGCAAGACCUUGCGCAACUGGAGCGGCCGAUGGCAGAUUAGGUAGUUGGUGGGAUAAAAGCUACCAAGCCGACGAUCUGUAGCUGGUCUGAGAGGACGACCAGCCACACUGGGACUGAGACACGGCCCAGACUCCUACGGGAGGCAGCAGUGGGGAAUUUUGGACAAUGGGCGAAAGCCUGAUCCAGCAAUGCCGCGUGCAGGAUGAAGGCCUUCGGGUUGUAAACUGCUUUUGUACGGAACGAAAAGCUUCGGGUUGAUACCCUGGAGUCAUGACGGUACCGUAAGAAUAAGCACCGGCUAACUACGUGCCAGCCGCCGCUGUAAUAC